GAUGAACGCUGACAGAAUGCUUAACACAUGCAAGUCUUUGGCGAAGCUGUGCUUGCACAGCCUAGCCAAGGCGGACGGGUGAGUAACGCGUAAGGAACUUGCCCUGCAGUCAGGGAUAACAGACGGAAACGACUGAUAAGACCUGGUAAAGUCAGGCGGACUCAUGUCCAGCCUGAUGAAAAGAGAUGCUGCAGGAGAGCCUUGCGUCCUAUUAGCUUGUUGGUGGGGUAACGGCCCACCAAGGCGAUGAUAGGUAGCCGGCCUGAGAGGGUGGACGGCCACAAGGGGACUGAGAUACGGCCCUUACUCCUACGGGAGGCAGCAGUGGGGAAUAUUAGACAAUGGGGGCAACCCUGAUCCAGCAAUUCUGUGUGCACGAUGAAGGUUUUCGGAUUGUAAAGUGCUUUCAGCAGGGAGGAAAAAAAUGACGGUACCUGCAGAAGAAGCGACGGCUAAAUACGUG
rnacentral:rRNA from 1 species